GACGAACGCUGGCGGCGUGCCUAAUACAUGCAAGUCGAGCGAAUCUGAUGGGAGCUUGCUCCUUGAUGAUUAGCGGCGGACGGGUGAGUAACACGUGGGUAACCUGCCUGUAAGACUGGGAUAACUCCGGGAAACCGGGGCUAAUACCGGAUAACUUUUUUCUUCGCAUGAGGGAGAAUUGAAAGAUGGCUUCGGCUAUCACUUACAGAUGGACCCGCGGCGCAUUAGCUAGUUGGUGAGGUAACGGCUCACCAAGGCGACGAUGCGUAGCCGACUUGAGAGGGUGAUCGGCCACACUGGGACUGAGACACGGCCCAGACUCCUACGGGAGGCAGCAGUAGGGAAUCUUCCGCAAUGGACGAAAGUCUGACGGAGCAACGCCGCGUGAGUGAUGAAGGUUUUCGGAUCGGAAAACUCUGUUGUUAGGGAAGAACAAGUAUCGUUCGAAUAGGGCGGUACCUUGACGGUACCUAAACAGAAAGCCACGGCUAACUACGUG
rnacentral:rRNA from 1 species